rnacentral:rRNA from 1 species
ACGUAGGGGGCAAGCGUUAUCCGGAUUUACUGGGUGUAAAGGGAGCGUAGACGGCUUAGCAAGUCUGAAGCGAAAGCCCGGGGCUCAACCCCGGGACUGCUUUGGAAACUGUUAAGCUGGAGUGCUGGAGAGGUAAGCGGAAUUCCUAGUGUAGCGGUGAAAUGCGUAGAUAUUAGGAGGAACACCAGUGGCGAAGGCGGCUUACUGGACAGUAACUGACGUUGAGGCUCGAAAGCGUGGGGAGCAAACAG